GAGUUCAAGACCAGCGUGGCCAAUAUGGUGAAACCCUGUCUCUACUAAAAAUACAAAAAUUAUCAGGACGUGGUGGUGCGCACCUGUAGUCCCAGCUACUUGGGAGGCAGAAGCACAAGAAUCGCUUGAACCUGGGAGGCAGAGGUUGCAGUGAGCCAAGAUCAUGCCACUGUACUCCAGCCUGGGUGACUGCUGUGUUUUCUGCUUAAGCCGUUGAGACGAUCUCAAAGGUAGAAGAGACCUUCAAGGGCAUCGAGUCCAUCUACGGAUGCCAGGGGUGGACUCUGUUAACUCUAUUAAGUGAUUCCUCAACCUUUGCCAAGUAUCCAAAGCAACAGGAAACUAACUACCUCGAAACAGUAUGUAGUAGGCUGUUUCCUCCUCCCUUCUAUCCAACAGUCCUAUUUUAACCUUUCAUAUAUUUGUCAGUAAUAGUUUAUAGCCCAUAGAAUAAAAUAAAUAGCUGUAAGUUUAUAUUAAUAUAACAAAUAAUUGAUGAACAAAGAAAUGGGAGAAAAAGGACAACACUUUUUUUACAGUAGAAUUUAAAGCAGGGCAAGGUUUGGUUCUCUGUGUCAACAUUUUCGAGUUACACACUGGGGCAACAAAUGAAAUAAAAUUCUGCCACAUUCAUAGUUCAACAUGUUGUUCCUCUUUGAGUGCUAAAACUUACAAAGGGAGCUAUAAAGAAAAACAAAUUUUAUUCACAACACUCUGCAUACAAACUUUUCUUUCUGUAGACUUGUGUGGAGUUGAAAAUAAAGGAUGCUAAUAUGCACAUUAUGCAGCACAUCAAAAAAAAGAGAGAGAAAACACUUUAGUUGAGUGGAAAUUCAUCCAUCUACUGAAAAUCUGGGAGAAUUCACAUCCCCAAAAUUUUUGGCUAUUUCUCUGUAAAACUAUUUAUACCAUUUAAAA
rnacentral:lncRNA from 1 species